AGCGUACACGGUGGAUGCCCUGGCAGUCAGAGGCGAUGAAGGACGUGCUAAUCUGCGAUAAGCGUCGGUAAGGUGAUAUGAACCGUUAUAACCGGCGAUUUCCGAAUGGGGAAACCCAGUGUGUUUCGACACACUAUCAUUAACUGAAUCCAUAGGUUAAUGAGGCGAACCGGGGGAACUGAAACAUCUAAGUACCCCGAGGAAAAGAAAUCAACCGAGAUUCCCCCAGUAGCGGCGAGCGAACGGGGAGCAGCCCAGAGUCUGAAUCAGUGUGUGUGUUAGUGGAAGCGUCUGGAAAGGCGCGCGAUACAGGGUGACAGCCCCGUACACAAAAAUGCACAUGCUGUGAGCUCGAUGAGUAGGGCGGGACACGUGGUAUCCUGUCUGAAUAUGGGGGGACCAUCCUCCAAGGCUAAAUACUCCUGACUGACCGAUAGUGAACCAGUACCGUGAGGGAAAGGCGAAAAGAACCCCGGCGAGGGGAGUGAAAAAGAACCUGAAACCGUGUACGUACAAGCAGUGGGAGCACGCUUAGGCGUGUGACUGCGUACCUUUUGUAUAAUGGGUCAGCGACUUAUAUUCUGUAGCAAGGUUAACCGAAUAGGGGAGCCGAAGGGAAACCGAGUCUUAACUGGGCGUUAAGUUGCAGGGUAUAGACCCGAAACCCGGUGAUCUAGCCAUGGGCAGGUUGAAGGUUGGGUAACACUAACUGGAGGACCGAACCGACUAAUGUUGAAAAAUUAGCGGAUGACUUGUGGCUGGGGGGGAAAGGCCAAUCAAACCGGGAGAUAGCUGGUUCUCCCCGAAAGCUAUUUAGGUAGCGCCUCGUGAAUUCAUCUCCGGGGGUAGAGCACUGUUUCGGCAAGGGGGUCAUCCCGACUUACCAACCCGAUGCAAACUGCGAAUACCGGAGAAUGUUAUCACGGGAGACACACGGCGGGUGCUAACGUCCGUCGUGAAGAGGGAAACAACCCAGACCGCCAGCUAAGGUCCCAAAGUCAUGGUUAAGUGGGAAACGAUGUGGGAAGGCCCAGACAGCCAGGAUGUUGGCUUAGAAGCAGCCAUCAUUUAAAGAAAGCGUAAUAGCUCACUGGUCGAGUCGGCCUGCGCGGAAGAUGUAACGGGGCUAAACCAUGCACCGAAGCUGCGGCAGCGACGCUUAUGCGUUGUUGGGUAGGGGAGCGUUCUGUAAGCCUGUGAAGGUGUGCUGUGAGGCAUGCUGGAGGUAUCAGAAGUGCGAAUGCUGACAUAAGUAACGAUAAAGCGGGUGAAAAGCCCGCUCGCCGGAAGACCAAGGGUUCCUGUCCAACGUUAAUCGGGGCAGGGUGAGUCGACCCCUAAGGCGAGGCCGAAAGGCGUAGUCGAUGGGAAACAGGUUAAUAUUCCUGUACUUGGUGUUACUGCGAAGGGGGGACGGAGAAGGCUAUGUUGGCCGGGCGACGGUUGUCCCGGUUUAAGCGUGUAGGCUGGUUUUCCAGGCAAAUCCGGAAAAUCAAGGCUGAGGCGUGAUGACGAGGCACUACGGUGCUGAAGCAACAAAUGCCCUGCUUCCAGGAAAAGCCUCUAAGCAUCAGGUAACAUCAAAUCGUACCCCAAACCGACACAGGUGGUCAGGUAGAGAAUACCAAGGCGCUUGAGAGAACUCGGGUGAAGGAACUAGGCAAAAUGGUGCCGUAACUUCGGGAGAAGGCACGCUGAUAUGUAGGUGAAGUCCCUCGCGGAUGGAGCUGAAAUCAGUCGAAGAUACCAGCUGGCUGCAACUGUUUAUUAAAAACACAGCACUGUGCAAACACGAAAGUGGACGUAUACGGUGUGACGCCUGCCCGGUGCCGGAAGGUUAAUUGAUGGGGUCAGCGCAAGCGAAGCUCUUGAUCGAAGCCCCGGUAAACGGCGGCCGUAACUAUAACGGUCCUAAGGUAGCGAAAUUCCUUGUCGGGUAAGUUCCGACCUGCACGAAUGGCGUAAUGAUGGCCAGGCUGUCUCCACCCGAGACUCAGUGAAAUUGAACUCGCUGUGAAGAUGCAGUGUACCCGCGGCAAGACGGAAAGACCCCGUGAACCUUUACUAUAGCUUGACACUGAACAUUGAGCCUUGAUGUGUAGGAUAGGUGGGAGGCUUGGAAGUGUGGACGCCAGUCUGCAUGGAGCCGACCUUGAAAUACCACCCUUUAAUGUUUGAUGUUCUAACGUUGACCCGUAAUCCGGGUUGCGGACAGUGUCUGGUGGGUAGUUUGACUGGGGCGGUCUCCUCCUAAAGAGUAACGGAGGAGCACGAAGGUUGGCUAAUCCUGGUCGGACAUCAGGAGGUUAGUGCAAUGGCAUAAGCCAGCUUGACUGCGAGCGUGACGGCGCGAGCAGGUGCGAAAGCAGGUCAUAGUGAUCCGGUGGUUCUGAAUGGAAGGGCCAUCGCUCAACGGAUAAAAGGUACUCCGGGGAUAACAGGCUGAUACCGCCCAAGAGUUCAUAUCGACGGCGGUGUUUGGCACCUCGAUGUCGGCUCAUCACAUCCUGGGGCUGAAGUAGGUCCCAAGGGUAUGGCUGUUCGCCAUUUAAAGUGGUACGCGAGCUGGGUUUAGAACGUCGUGAGACAGUUCGGUCCCUAUCUGCCGUGGGCGCUGGAGAACUGAGGGGGGCUGCUCCUAGUACGAGAGGACCGGAGUGGACGCAUCACUGGUGUUCGGGUUGUCAUGCCAAUGGCACUGCCCGGUAGCUAAAUGCGGAAGAGAUAAGUGCUGAAAGCAUCUAAGCACGAAACUUGCCCCGAGAUGAGUUCUCCCUGACUCCUUGA
rnacentral:rRNA from 1 species